rnacentral:rRNA from 1 species
UACGUAGGGGGCAAGCGUUGUCCGGAAUCAUUGGGCGUAAAGCGCGUGUAGGCGGCUUCGUCAGUCCGUUGUGAAAGUCCAGGGCUCAACCCUGGAAUGCCGAUGGAUACUGCGGAGCUAGAGUCCGGAAGAGGCGAGUGGAAUUCCUGGUGUAGCGGUGAAAUGCGCAGAUAUCAGGAGGAACACCAAUGGCGAAGGCAGGUCUCUGGGCCAUAACUGACGCUGAGAAGCGAAAGCAUGGGGAGCGAACAGG